CACUCCGAGGAGCGUUGCAACGAAUGGACCCCAUUGUGCCAUUCGCCAGGCUCGGACUGUCUUCAACGGCGCUCGCUGAUC
rfam:Cupriavidus sp. SK-3 Scaffold231, whole genome shotgun sequence.